UUAAGCUAAUAAGAGCGCAGGGUGGAUGCCUUGGCACUAAGAGCCGAAGAAAGACGUGAUAAGCUGCGAAAAGCUGCGGGGAGGAGCAAAUGUCCAUUGAUCCGCAGAUGUCUGAAUGGGGAAACCCGUCUGGAAGAACUCCAGUCACUGCAUGGUGAAUACAUAGGCAUGCAGGGGGAACCCGGUGAACUGAAACAUCUAAGUAGCCGGAGGAAAAGAAAGAAAAAUCGAUUUCCAAAGUAGCGGCGAGCGAAAUGGAAGGAGCCCAAACCGGGAUGCGUGCAUUCCGGGGUUAUGGACCGCAAGAAGUGACCCGUAAGAUAGAAGAAUGGCAUUGGGAAAGCCAGCCACAGAGGGUGAAAGCCCCGUAUUCGAAAUCAGAAGGGAGCGAGCGGAAUCCGAAGUACUACGAGACACGUGGAACCUUGUAGGAAAUCGGGGGGACCACCCCCCAAGGCUAAAUACUCCUUAGUGACCGAUAGCGCAUAGUACUGUGAAGGAACGGUGAAAAGAACCCCGGGAGGGGAGUGAAAGAGAACCUGAAACCCUGUGUUUACAAGCUGUGGAACAUCUUUAUAUGAUGAACCGCGUACUUUUUGUAGAACGGUCCGGCGAGUUACGCUGGCUGGCGAGGUUAAGGACUAAAGGUCCGGAGCCGAAGGGAAACCAAGUCUUAAUAGGGCGAGUUAAGUCAGUCAGAGUAGACCCGAAACCGGGUGAUCUACCCAUGUCCAGGAUGAAGUUGCCGUAAAAGGCAAUGGAGGUCCGAACACACAUCCGUUGAAAAGGGUGGUGAUGAGGUGUGGGUAGCGGAGAAAUUCCAAUCGAACCCGGAGAUAGCUGGUUCUCCUCGAAAUAGCUUUAGGGCUAGCCUCAAUUUAGUCUUGCGGAGGUAGAGCACUGAAUAUCCUAGGGGGCGUCAAAGCUUACCGAAGAUUAUCAAACUCCGAAUGCCGUAAAGAUGAUGAUUGGGAGUCAGACUGCACGAGAUAAGUUGGGUAGUCAAAAGGGAAACAGCCCAGACCUCCAGCUAAGGUCCCAAAGUGAGUGUUAAGUGGAAAAGGAUGUGGGAUUUCGAAGACAACUAGGAUGUUGGCUCAGAAGCAGCCAUUCAUUCAAAGAGUGCGUAAUAGCUCACUAGUCGAGAGGUCCUGCGCCGAAAAUGUCCGGGGCUAAACACUACACCGAAGCUGAGGAAUGACAAUGUCAUUGGUAGAGGAGCAUUCUUAACUGCGACGAAGCUGUACCGAAAGGAGCAGUGGAGUGUUAAGAAGAGAGAAUGCCGGAAUGAGUAGCGAGAGUGAGGUGAGAAUCCUCACGGCCGAAUAUCUAAGGUUUCCAGGGUAAAGCUGAUCUGCCCUGGGUAAGUCGGGACCUAAGGCGAGGUCGAAAGACGUAGUCGAUGGACAACAGGUUGAAAUUCCUGUACUGCAAUGUAUCAGAAAUGUGGGGACACAGACAGAGAGCCGGAGCCGGGAAUGGAGAAACCGGUGCAAGCGAGGUAGGAGAACAGCAGGCAAAUCCGCUGUUUAAUUUGAAGACGUGACGCGGAGCGAAAUUAAAGUAGCGAAGCCGGUGAGCUGGCUGUCAGGAAAAGCCGCUAUUGUGUACAUUGUACCCGUACCGUAAACCGACACAGGUGGAUGAGGAGAGAAUCCUAAGGCCGACGGAAGAAGCAUUGUUAAGGAACUCGGCAAAAUGGCCCCGUAACUUCGGGAUAAGGGGUGCCUACGAAGGUAGGCCGCAGAGAAUUGGCCCAAGCAACUGUUUAGCAAAAACACAGGUCUAUGCGAAACCGUAAGGUGAUGUAUAUGGGCUGACGCCUGCCCGGUGCUGGAAGGUUAAGGGGAGAGGUUAGACUUAAGUCGAAGCCUUGAACUUAAGCCCCAGUAAACGGCGGCCGUAACUAUAACGGUCCUAAGGUAGCGAAAUUCCUUGUCGGGUAAGUUC
rnacentral:rRNA from 1 species